AUUGAACGCUGGCGGCAGGCCUAACACAUGCAAGUCGAGCGGAUGAAGGGAGCUUGCUCCUGGAUUCAGCGGCGGACGGGUGAGUAAUGCCUAGGAAUCUGCCUGGUAGUGGGGGAUAACGUCCGGACACGGGCGCUAAUACCGCAUACGUCCUGAGGGAGAAAGUGGGGGAUCUUCGGACCUCACGCUAUCAGAUGAGCCUAGGUCGGAUUAGCUAGUUGGUGGGGUAAAGGCCUACCAAGGCGACGAUCCGUAACUGGUCUGAGAGGAUGAUCAGUCACACUGGAACUGAGACACGGUCCAGACUCCUACGGGAGGCAGCAGUGGGGAAUAUUUGACAAUGGGCGAAAGCCUGAUCCAGCCAUGCCGCGUGUGUGAAGAAGGUCUUCGGAUUGUAAAGCACUUUAAGUUGGGAGAAAGGGCAGUAAGUUAAUACCUUGCUGUUUUGACGUUACCAACAGAAUAAGCACCGGCUAACUUCGUG
rnacentral:rRNA from 1 species